rnacentral:tRNA from 1 species
GGGGGUGUAACUCAGUGGUAGAGUGCUUGCCUAGCAUGCAUGACGCCCGGGGUUCAAUCUCUAGCACUCCCC